GCCGAAAUACGUUUUAGAAAUGUAGCUGGCAGCCACCGCCUUACGUCAGCUUUGUUAGUGUUUUUAUAAUAAAUCAGAUCACCGCAUUUCAGAUUAACAAACCGGUCAUUAAAAUUGUCAGUAGGUAAAAUAUCUGUAUCAAAGGGUGUAUCAUCAUGCAUUUCAAGAUUGUGUUUGUAGCUAGCCUUGGGAUUAAUCAAAUCCAAUAGUGUUUUUGGUUUGUAUGAAAGGAGUCUCUCAGAUGGAAAACGGUUGCCAUCCUCUAAACAAGUGUUUCUGUAGUUUAGGAGAAAGUAAGAUAUCUGCAAAUCCGUAUCCAGUUUGUUGACAUUUGGAUCCAAAAGGAACUUUUUAAAAACAUCCUUCACCAAACGAACCACACGUUCAGCUUGUCCAUUGCUUUGCGGAUGGUAUGGUGGACUUUUCAACAUUUUGACUCCUUGUUUUUCAAAAAAAAUCACGAAAUCUAGAGCGUUAAAUGGCGGCCCUCCAUCCGUGACCAGAACAUCUGGUAAACCAUAUCUUGCGAAAAUGCUGAGAAAAACUUUAAUGAUGUUUUUGCAGUCCGUGCCAUUCUUCAUGUGCUCCAGCUCAAUCCACUUUGUGUAGCUGUCCACCAUCACUAAAAACGUCUUACGGUCAAAAUGGAAAAAAUCUGCGUGAACUCUACUGAACGGCUUGUUUGUUGGUAUCCACUGUGUGCAGGGAGCUGGCCUGUACACAGUUCUUCGAGCCAGCUGUUUUAUUUUGUUUAUGCCCGAAUGGUUUCUGUGAAGCAGUUUCAAAAUCUUUGAUUUUAGUACCUCAGGUAUGAUCACGCGAUCUUGGAAUAACAUACACCCCUCAACCAUUUCAAGAUCCUGAUGAUGUGAAUAAACGUCUCUGAAACAUU